GGUGCCGUGGACGAAUUGGUAGAGUUGCCGGCCUUUCAAGCCGGAGUUUGCGGGUUCAAUCCCCGCCGGCAUCA
rnacentral:tRNA from 1 species